rnacentral:rRNA from 1 species
UACGGAGGGUGCGAGCGUUAUCCGGAUUUAUUGGGUUUAAAGGGUCCGUAGGCGGUAUAAUAAGUCAGUGGUGAAAUCCUACAGCUUAACUGUAGAAUUGCCAUUGAUACUGUUAUACUUGAAUAAGGUUGAGGUAGCUAGAAUGUGUAGUGUAGCGGUGAAAUGCAUAGAGAUUACACAGAAUACCGAUAGCGAAGGCAGGUUACUAAGCCUUUAUUGACGCUGAUGGACGAAAGCGUGGGGAGCAAACAGG